GACGAACGCUGGCGGCGUGCCUAAUACAUGCAAGUAGAACGCACAGUUUAUACCGUAGCUUGCUACACCAUAGACUGUGAGUUGCGAACGGGUGAGUAACGCGUAGGUAACCUGCCUGGUAGCGGGGGAUAACUAUUGGAAACGAUAGCUAAUACCGCAUAAUAUUAAUUAUUGCAUGAUAAUUAAUUGAAAGGUGCAAUUGCACCACUACCAGAUGGACCUGCGUUGUAUUAGCUAGUAGGUGAGGUAACGGCUCACCUAGGCGACGAUACAUAGCCGACCUGAGACGGUGAUCGGCCCCCCUGGGACUGAGACACGGCCCAGACUCCUACGGGAGGCAGCAGUAGGGAAUCUUCGGCAAUGGACGAAAGUCUGACCGAGCAACGCCGCGUGAGUGAAGAAGGUUUUCGGAUCGUAAAGCUCUGUUGUAAGAGAAGAACGGGUGUGAGAGUGGAAAGUUCACACUGUGACGGUAUCUUACCAGAAAGGGACGGCUAACUACGUG
rnacentral:rRNA from 1 species